AACGAACGCUGGCGGCAUGCCUAAUACAUGCAAGUCGAACGAUCACUUCGGUGGUAGUGGCGCACGGGUGCGUAACGCGUGGGAAUCUGCCCUUGGGUUCGGAAUAACAUCGGGAAACUGAUGCUAAUACCGGAUGAUGACGUAAGUCCAAAGAUUUAUCGCCCAGGGAUGAGCCCGCGUAGGAUUAGCUAGUUGGUGGGGUAAAGGCCUACCAAGGCGACGAUCCUUAGCUGGUCUGAGAGGAUGAUCAGCCACACUGGGACUGAGACACGGUCCAGACUCCUACGGGAGGCAGCAGUGGGGAAUCUUGCGCAAUGGGCGAAAGCCUGACGCAGCGACGCCGCGUGAGUGAUGAAGGCCUUCGGGUUGUAAAGCUCUGUGGGGAGAGAAGAAUUAGUGCAGCCUAAUACGUUGCAUGAUGACGGUAUCUCCUUAGCAAGCACCGGCUAACUCUGUGCCAGCAGCCGCGGUAAGACAGAGGGUGCAAACGUUGUUCGGAAUUACUGGGCGUAAAGCGAGUGUAGGCGGUCUGAAAAGUCAGGUGUGAAAGCCCUGGGCUCAACCCAGGAAGUGCACUUGAAACUGCCAGGCUAGAGUGUCGGAGAGGUUGGUGGAAUUCUCGGUGUAGAGGUGAAAUUCGUAGAUAUCGAGAGGAACACCGGUGGCGAAGGCGGCCAACUGGACGAACACUGACGCUGAGACUCGAAAGCGUGGGGAGCAAACAGGAUUAGAUACCCUGGUAGUCAA
rnacentral:rRNA from 1 species